UACGUAGGGUGCAAGCGUUGUCCGGAAUUAUUGGGCGUAAAGAGCUCGUAGGCGGUCUGUCGCGUCGGCUGUGAAAACUCGGGGCUCAACUCCGAGCUUGCAGUCGAUACGGGCAGGCUAGAGUGCGGCAGGGGAGACUGGAAUUCCUGGUGUAGCGGUGAAAUGCGCAGAUAUCAGGAGGAACACCGGCGGCGAAGGCGGGUCUCUGGGCCGAUACUGACGCUGAGGAGCGAAAGCGUGGGGAGCAAACAGG
rnacentral:rRNA from 1 species